CCCUUAGAUGUUCUGGGCCGCACGCGCGCUACACUGACUGGUGCAACAAGUGUCUGACCUUGGCUCGAGAGGCCUGGGCAACCUUUGAACGCCAGUCGUGCUGGGGAUAGAUUCUUGCAAUUAUUAAUCUUCAACGAGGAAUUCCUAGUAAACGCAAGUCAUCAGCUUGCAUUGAUUACGUCCCUGCCCUUUGUACACACCGCCCGUCGCACCUACCGAUUGAAUGGUCCGGUGAAGCCUCCGGAUUGGCGCGCACCUCGGUGCCGCCGAGAAGUUGGCUAAACCUUACCAUUUAGAGGAAGGUGAANUCGUAACA
rnacentral:rRNA from 1 species